rnacentral:rRNA from 1 species
GAAGUGCGACGGGGGGACCCAAGUGCCACUCUUAACGGGGUGGCUUUUCUUGAGUGUAAAAAGCUUUUGGAAUAAGAGCUGGGCAAGACCGGUGCCAGCAGCCGCGGUAA